UGGGGAAUAUUGGACAAUGGGCGCAAGCCUGAUCCAGCCAUGCCGCGUGUGUGAUGAAGGCCUUAGGGUUGUAAAGCACUUUCGCCGAUGAAGAUAAUGACUGUAGUCGGAGAAGAAGCCCCGGCUAACUUCGUGCCAGCAGCCGCGGUAAUACGAAGGGGGCAAGCAUUGUUCGGAUUUACUGGGCGUAAAGCGUACGUAGGCGGAUGAUUAAGUCAGGGGUGAAAUCCCGGGGCUCAACCUCGGAACUGCCUUUGAUACUGGUCGUCUUGAGUCCGGGAGAGGUGAGUGGAACUCCUAGUGUAGAGGUGAAAUUCGUAGAUAUUAGGAAGAACACCAGUGGCGAAGGCGGCUCACUGGCCCGGAACUGACGCUGAGGUACGAAAGCGUGGGGAGCAAACAGGAUUAGAUACCCUGGUAGUCCACGCCGUAAACGAUGGAUGCUAGCCGUCGGGGAGCUUGCUCUUCGGUGGCGCAGCUAACGCAUUAAGCAUCCCGCCUGGGGAGUACGGUCGCAAGAUUAAAACUCAAAUGAAUUGACGGGGUCAAGCUGUUUUCCUG
rnacentral:rRNA from 1 species